CUGGUCCUUUCUAAGAAAGGGGCGCGAGGAAUCAGGGGCUUUCCUUUCCUGGCUGCGAGUGAUCUUCCUGAGCGGAGCUCUCUGGGUUCCCGGGCUCACGGGGGCCGACGAAGGGCAGACUGUGCUGUUGGUUUGGACCAGAGAAAGGAAAGAGAAAGAGAAUUCGCGAUGGGUCAACUUCAGUCCCGAAGGACAAUUUGGAGACUUGUUUGCUUACGCUCAGUGGCCUGGGGGGACCCCUAGACCUGAUUGGAGGUUGCCCCCAAAAGGGACAACAUGAAAUCUGCUCCCCGAGAGAUGUAAGAUAAGUGAAAAUGUAGCCACUGGGUCAGAAUGUCGCAAUCCAAGUGUCUUUCUGCCCCACAGUGUCCAAACUUCCCGCAGCAGCCGGAAUUGCGGUGCCACUAAU